AUUGAACGCCGGCGGCACGCCUAACAUAUGCAAGUCGAACGAGCGGCGGACGGGUCAGUAAUGACUCGGAAACUGCCCGAUGGAGGGGGAUAACUUCUGGAAACGGUAGCUACUACCGCCUACCACCGGCAGCGCCCAGAUGGGAUUAGCUUUUAGGUGAGGUAACGGCGCACCUAGGCGAAGAUCCCUAGCUGGUCUGAGAGGAUGACCAGCCACACUAGAACGGAGACGCGGUCCAGACUCCUACGGGAGGCAGCGGUGGGGAAUAUUGCACCAGGAGAGCAGUCCUGGUGCAGCCAUGCCGCGAAGAUGAUGAGGGCCUUCGGGUGGUAUAGUACUUUCAUCAGGGAGGCGUUACCCGGUGAAAAGGCCCCGGCUAACUCCGUGCCAGCAGCCGCGGUAAUAC
rnacentral:rRNA from 1 species